AACGAACGCUGACGGCGUGCUUAACACAUGCAAGUCGCACGAGAACUUCUACCUUCGGGUGGAUUAGUAAAGUGGCGCACGGGUGAGUAACGCGUGGAUAAUCUGCCUUCAAGUAGGGAAUAACAUUGCGAAAGCGAUGCUAAUACCGUAUAAGCUCACGAUUUGAUUAGUUGUGGGAAAAGAUGGCCUAGUCUAUGCUAUCGCUUGAAGAUGAGUCCGCGUACCAUUAGCUUGUUGGUAGGGAAAUGGCCUACCAAGGCUUCGAUGGUUAGCUGGCCUGAGAGGGCGGCCAGCCACACUGGGACUGAGACACGGCCCAGACUCCUACGGGAGGCAGCAGUGGGGAAUAUUGCGCAAUGGGGGAAACCCUGACGCAGCGACGCCGUGUGAGUGAUGAAGGUUUUCGGAUCGUAAAGCUCUGUCGGGUG
rnacentral:rRNA from 1 species